rnacentral:rRNA from 1 species
AAAGCGCAUGCUUUUUGUUGAAAAACCAAGGUGGUAUGGGAUGGACCCGCGUCUGAUUAGCUGGUUGGCGGGGUAAAGGCCCACCAAGGCGACGAUCAGUAGCCGGCCUGAGAGGGCGGACGGCCACAUUGGGACUGAGACACGGCCCAAACUCCUACGGGAGGCAGCAGUGGGGAAUAUUGCACAAUGGGGGAAACCCUGAUGCAGCGACGCCGCGUGAGUGAAGAAGUAAUUCGUUAUGUAAAGCUCUAUCAGCAGGGAAGAAAAUGACGGUACCUGAGUAAGAAGCCCCGGCUAACUACGUGCCAGCAGCCGCGGUAAUACGUAGGGGGCAAGCGUUAUCCGGAUUUACUGGGUGUAAAGGGAGCGUAGACGGCAGUGCAAGUCUGGAGUGAAAGGCGGGGGCUCAACCCCCGGACUGCUCUGGAAACUGUACGGCUGGAGUGCAGGAGAGGUAAGUGGAAUUCCUAGUGUAGCGGUGAAAUGCGUAGAUAUUAGGAGGAACACCAGUGGCGAAGGCGGCUUACUGGACUGUAACUGACGUUGAGGCUCGAAAGCGUGGGGAGCAAACAGGAUUAGAUACCCUGGUAGUCCACGCCGUAAACGAUGAUCAAUAGGUGUCGGGG